CGGAGGAUCCAAGCGUUAUCCGGAAUCAUUGGUUAAGGUCCGUAGGCGGCCCUGUAAGUCAGUGGUGAAAUCUCCGGCUCAACCGGGAAUUGCCAUUGAUACUGCAGGGCUUGAAUUAUUGGGAAGUAACUAGAAUAUGUAGUGUAGCGGUGAAAUGCUUAGAUAUUACAUGGAAUACCGAUUGCGAAGGCAGGUUACUACCAAUACAUUGACGCUGAUGGACGAAAGCGUGGUAGCGAACAGGAUU
rnacentral:rRNA from 1 species